UACGUAGGUGGCAAGCGUUGUCCGGAAUUAUUGGGCGUAAAGCGCGCGCAGGCGGUCCCUUAAGUCUGAUGUGAAAGCCCACGGCUCAAGCUAGGAGGGCCAUUGGAAACUGGGAGGCUUGAGUAUAGGAGAGAAGAGUGGAAUUCCACGUGUAGCGGUGAUAUGCGUAGAGAUGUGGAGGAAAACCAGUGGCGAAGGCGACUCUUUGGCCUAUAACUGACGCUGAGGCGCGAAAGCGUGGGGAGCAAACAGG
rnacentral:misc_RNA from 1 species